UACGGGGGGGGCAAGCGUUGUUCGGAAUUACUGGGCGUAAAGGGCUCGUAGGUGGCCAACUAAGUCAGACGUGAAAUCCCUCAGCUUAACUGGGGAACUGCGUCUGAUACUGGAUGGCUUGAGUUUGGGAGAGGGAUGCGGAAUUCCAGGUGUAGCGGUGAAAUGCGCAGAUAUCAGGAGGAACACCAAUGGCGAAGGCAGCUCGCUGGGACGUGACUGACGCUGAGACGCGAAAGCGUGGGGAGCAAACAGG
rnacentral:rRNA from 1 species